rnacentral:rRNA from 1 species
AUGGCAAUUGUCCAUACCUACGGGAAGCCUGACAUCUUCUUGACCAUGACCUGCAACCCUAACUGGGAAGAGAUAACAAAUGAGUUGUUUCCUGGUCAGACAGCGCAAGACCGACCUGAUCUUGUGGCUCGUGUGUUCCAUGGGAAGCUAGAGGCUAUGAAAGAGAUGUUGUUCAAGCAGCAUAUCCUGGGUGUUGUUGUUUGUAGUCGAGUUCCAAAAGAGGGGCCUCCCCCACGCACACUUUUUGUUGAUCAUGGAUUCUGCCUAUAA